rnacentral:lncRNA from 1 species
GCCAAAGGCUGGAGCACUGGACUGCCUUUCGCUGCAGGGUGAUUUACGAACAGCCCUUAAGUAAGAGAGAAAAAAAAAGUGAAAUGAAUCACUCUUGUCUUAUGCGCUGAAGAGUGGAGAGACAGGUUUAGAGGAGACCCCGAGUGCUCUAAGCACGGAGCGUGGUCACCCACGUCCUUCCGAGGUACAGUUCUUAGGAGCUGGUCCCGGGGGGGUGGGGGCGCAGCAGGAGCCUCCAGGCCCUGCCCACCGAAGGGCCCGGCCCGGUGUCCAGCUCCACGCGCCAGUGUGGACAAGGGUACUGCCAGUGGUGAGAUGAAUGUGUCAGUUGUUGUGAUCAUCUGCUUCUGGCAGAUAAGGAAUCACGUUUUCUACGUCCCAACACAACAAGGACAAGGACCCACGGGGAGGUGCCAGGAGCACCUGCUCAGGUCGGAGCCCCUCAAGGAAUCCGAAGAGACGUGA